rnacentral:lncRNA from 1 species
CUAUAUUAAUCUUGAAGCCUCUUAUAGAGUUUGUUUUAAUAAAUUUUAUUUCUAUCAUAUGAAAUUCUUUAACAAUGUUUUAUAUAUUUUCAUUCUGUUUAUUUCUAUUAGUAAAAAAAAAGCAUUAUUAUAUAGGAGUACUAAACUUUAGUUAGAGUCAACACUGUUCUUAGAGAGCUACUUAAGGAACAAAGUAACAUUGAAAGACCAUUGAAAAAACAAAGCAAUAUUAAUCUUAAACAUUCAAAUCAGUUACAUUCCCAAUUGUUCACACUUUACGACAAUAGUUCUCUUUUAUAGGACAAUCGAAUUUGAUAAAAUUUAGCUUCAUUUUGAAAUUAAAGAAUAUAGAUAAAAUUAAGUUUAUCUGAUUUAUUAAUCCAGCAAUGGUGACAUGUUUAUCCAAUGGAGUCAGAUUUCAUUCAGGCUGUGAGCCCAAGUUUUUAUUAAAAAAUUUUCAUUAUUUUUUUAAUCUACGUCAUCUGAUUGAAUUAAAGCUUUUAUUUUUGACAAGUCUAUUCUAUAAUGCAAAAAAAAAUCAUUUUUCUAUGUUAUGUUGCUGUUUUUUAAUAAAUUAUUAUGUAAUCCGAUACCUGCUUAGCGAAAUUAUGUAAACAAACAAAGAGAUCGCAUUUCAGACAGCCCUAAAUCUUUUCCUGACAUCAGAACAAACACAAUUCCUGCUUUAUAUAUAAAU